rnacentral:rRNA from 1 species
GGGCCUGCGUUUCAUUAGCUAGUUGGUAGGGUAAUGGCCUACCAAGGCAACGAUGAGUAGCUGGUCUGAGAGGAUGAUCAGCCACACUGGAACUGAAACACGGUCCAGACUCCUACGGGAGGCAGCAGUGGGGAAUAUUGCGCAAUGGGCGAAAGCCUGACGCAGCAACGCCGUGUGAGGGAUGAAGGCUUUCGGGUCGUAAACCUCUGUCGGAAGGGAAGAACGGGCAUUGGUCUAAUAGGCCUUUGUUUUGACGGUACCUUUAGAGGAAGCACCGGCUAACUCCGUGCCAGCAGCCGCGGUAAUACGGAGGGUGCAAGCGUUAUUCGGAAUUACUGGGCGUAAAGCGCACGUAGGCGGCCUUGUAAGUCAGGGGUGAAAUCCCACGGCUCAACCGUGGAACUGCCUUUGAAACUGCAGGGCUUGAAUCCUGGAGAGGGUGGCGGAAUUCCUGGUGUAGGAGUGAAAUCCGUAGAUAUCAGGAGGAACACCGGUGGCGAAGGCGGCCACCUGGACAGGCAUUGACGCUGAGGUGCGAAAGUGUGGGGAGCAAACAGGAUUAGAUACCCUGGUAGUCCACACUGUAAACGAUGGACACUAGAUGCCGG